GAACUGAUAGUUUGAUAGGUGGAAUGAAGGGGUAACGCCCUGAAACGCCUAGCCUUGACAGACUAGCGUCGGUGGUAAAGACCGGGGUUAGAAGCUCUGUGACAAAGGCCGAGAGCAGCCGCAGGAGUUGCCAAAAACUCCCGAAAGCGCCCCAGAGGUGGGGUGUGCUGCCUAUAGGCCGAGGCUCUAUAAA
rnacentral:ncRNA from 1 species